rnacentral:rRNA from 1 species
CGGAAGGAUCAUUGUCGAAACCUCUCAAUCAAACCACCCGAGAACCAGUUCUUUCACACAUACAUCUUGCCGGGCCUCGACGGCCUCGUGCCGUCCGGUUCCCAGGCUUGAACAAAAACACGACGCGGGUUGCGUCAAGGAUCAAUCAAUGUU